rnacentral:tRNA from 4 species
UGGCCUAUGGUGUAAUUGGCAGCACGACGGAUUCUGGUUCCGUUAGUCUUGGUUCGAGUCCAGGUAGGCCAGC